rnacentral:rRNA from 1 species
CAGCCGUAAACUAUGCUCGCUAGGUGUCAGGCAUGGCGCGACCGUGUCUGGUGCCGCAGGGAAGCCGUGAAGCGAGCCACCUGGGAAGUACGGCCGCAAGGCUGAAACUUAAGGAUUGGCGGGGGAGCACAACAACGGGUGGAGCCUGCGGUUUAAUGGACUCAACGCCGGACAACUCACCGGGAACGACAGCAAUAUGUAGGCCAGGCUGAAGACCUUGCCUGAAUCGCUGAGAGGUGGUGCAUGGCGUAGACGUCU